UCUCUCUCUCUCUACCCUCGAGCCUCAGCCUAGGGUUUCCGUUUUCCUCACCAUCGCGCUCCUCUCUCUCUGUCAUCCUUCCUCCCCAAACCCAUUCCAGAGAUCGAAGAGAAAACGGAAUGCAGCCAUCUAUUUAACCACUACGAUUACCCACAUCUCUUGCUUCCAUUCCUAUCUUUUUCUUUCUUUCUUUCCAGAAACAUCACUCGCCAGCACUUCAUAGAGACAGAGAAACAAACAGGAAGGUGGGUGAUGGCCAAGACCAAGCCCGGGAAGAAGGACCUCGAUUCCUACACCAUCAAAGGCACCAACAAGGUCGUCAAAGUGGGGGACUGCGUGCUGAUGAGGCCGUCGGACUCGGACAAGCCGCCGUACGUGGCGCGGGUGGAGAAGAUCGAGGCGGACCACCGGAACAACGUGAGGGUGCGGGUGAGGUGGUACUACCGGCCGGAGGAGUCGAUCGGGGGGCGGCGCCAGUUCCACGGGGCCAAGGAGCUCUUCCUCUCCGACCAUUACGACGUCCAGAGCGCCCACACCAUCGAGGGGAAGUGCACCGUCCACUCCUUCAAGAACUACACCAAGCUCGAGAACGUCGGCGCCGAGGACUACUUCUGCCGCUUCGAGUACAAGGCCGCCACCGGCGGCUUCACCCCCGACCGCGUCGCAGUGUACUGCAAGUGCGAGAUGCCUUACAACCCGGACGACCUCAUGGUCCAAUGCGAGGGAUGCAAAGACUGGUUUCAUCCAUCUUGUAUGGGUAUGAGUAUUGAACAGGCAAAAAAAUUAGAUCACUUUCUCUGUUCAGAUUGUAACUCUGAAGAUGAUGCAAAGAGAUCUCUAAAUGGUUAUCCUGCCUCGCCAAUCUCAGAGCCUAAGGAUCGGGGUUGUAUCUUUCAUGCGAAAGAAUGAUUCAUCAUCCUUCAUGCGAAUCCACCAUUGGGUCCUUAUUUCGCAGAUCAGAAAGUGCUCUGAACUCCAUCAUUCAUCCACCUGCGCAGCUCUCAAAGCAACCAGCGGAUGAUCCAUGAUGGACUUGUGGAAGGAAGGUUGAAUCAAAAAGGCGGAAGAGGUGAGUUGAUGCUGUAGAGUUUCUCAUGAGGUAUGCAUUUAAUGGCACGGUAGCGCUUUUCUUCAUUGUUGGUGACAUGAAAAUGUACAGUGCAGGGAACAGACUGCUUGCAGAGUCUUGAGUCAGUUAUUUUAUGUUAAAACUGUUAUGAAUGUAAAUUUGAUACAUUCCAGGUCUUGAUGUGGUGUGCAAGAUCUUGUUCACUCUUGCGUAUGAGAAACCAAAAGGACAAAGUGCCUAAGUGCUGUUGCUUGUAUUGUGCUUGCUGUCACCAUAUAUAUAUUUUAGUUAAUAUCGAUGCCAUGACUAAUGGUGGUUUUGCCAUGGAAA